AACGAACGCUGGCGGCAGGCUUAACACAUGCAAGUCGAGCGCCCCGCAAGGGGAGCGGCAGACGGGUGAGUAACGCGUGGGAAUCUACCCAUCUCUACGGAAUAACGCAUGGAAACGUGUGCUAAUACCGUAUACGUCCUUCGGGAGAAAGAUUUAUCGGAGAUGGAUGAGCCCGCGUUGGAUCAGCUAGUUGGUGGGGUAAAGGCCUACCAAGGCGACGAUCCAUAGCUGGUCUGAGAGGAUGAUCAGCCACACUGGGACUGAGACACGGCCCAGACUCCUACGGGAGGCAGCAGUGGGGAAUAUUGGACAAUGGGCGCAAGCCUGAUCCAGCCAUGCCGCGUGAGUGAUGAAGGCCCUAGGGUUGUAAAGCUCCUUCACCGGUGAAGAUAAUGACGGUAACCGGAGAAGAAGCCCCGGCUAACUUCGUGCCAGCCGCCGCAGUAAUAC
rnacentral:rRNA from 1 species